UGAAGGUGGAGAUUGUGGGUUUCCAUCACCACACCUGAUCUGGUGUUAUGGUGGUGGCAGCAGGCCCGUAGGUUUUAUUUAUUUAUUGGUUGGUUGGUUGGUUUUGUCUUUUGGCCUGGUGGGUGUGGAUAUUAUUGCUUAAGCAACUAGAACCUGAAAACCUGCACCCACAUCAUACACCAACUGCGGAAUCUUGGGCCAGUGACUUAAUCACUCCAAGCCUCAGUUUCCUUCUUCUAUAAAACAAAUAUACAACAUUAUUAGCAAUGUUGUUGUAGGUAAUUACACCUAAGUAUGGCAUAAAAUUAACAUUCGCCUUUCUACCAUGACUCUAUAGGAAUUGAUUUUCUGCCAUAAACAGAAAGAAACAGUAAGUAUUUAAAACUCUUAAUUUUCCAGAUUUUGCAGCAGGCAACUUGGGACUAUGACCUGAGAAAUGAGAAGAAACAAGCUAGUUUCUUUUUUUUUCACAAAGCAGGGUUCCUUUCACAUUGGCUUAUUUAUUUUCACAAUGCCACAAAGAAGUCCCAAAUCUUUACAAUUCUUUACUUGCUUCUCAUUUUUUAAAAAAGAAACGCCCUAAAUAUCAAAUCAUGUUUUAAAAUUUUUUAACUGAAUUAUUUAAGAUAUGACAAUGAUAGAAUGUGCCAGUCAAUCAAACUUCCAAACUGCUAAACCUCUGAAGAAUGAACCAUGACUGGAGCUCACCGCAUUUCACAGCUGUUCAGGCUGAGCAACUAUCACUAAUGCAAGUGCACAGCCAAUGCCACUCACACACUGAAAGCACGUGUUCUCUACAUCUGAACCUUCCACAAUAGCAACUGUGUUGAAAACUCCAGUAAAAUUAGCCAGCCUGCUGAUACGUUGCGAUCUUCUGAUUAUGGAGCACAGACAUUUUGUAACUAUACAAUUUAUAAGCAACUAAUAAACUUUGAAAUGUUAGUAAUAUAAUAAAGUUAUAAAUAGU
rnacentral:lncRNA from 1 species